GUGAGGAAUAUUGGUCAAUGGGCGAGAGCCUGAACCAGCCAAGUCGCGUGAAGGAUGAAGGUUUUAUGAAUUGUAAACUUCUUUUGCAGGGGAAUAAAGUACGGUACGUGUACCGUUUUGUAUGUACUCUGCGAAUAAGGAUCGGCUAACUCCGUGCCAGCAGCUGCGGUAAUACGGAGGAUCCAAGCGUUAUCCGGAUUUAUUGGGUUUAAAGGGUGCGCAGGCGGGUUGAUAAGUCAGCGGUGAAAGUUUGCAGCUUAACUGUAAAAUUGCCGUUGAAACUGUCGAUCUUGAUUGCAAAUGAGGUAAGCGGAAUGUGUUGUGUAGCGGUGAAAUGUUUAGAUAUAACACAGAACACCGAUUGCGAAGGCAGCUUACUGGGAUGCAACUGACGCUCAUGCACGAAAGCGUGGGGAUCAAACAGGAUUAGAUACCCUAGUAGUCC
rnacentral:rRNA from 1 species